UACGUAGGUGGCAAGCGUUGUCCGGAUUUACUGGGCGUAAAGAGCGCGCAGGCGGUCGAAUAAGUCGAAUGUGAAAGCCCCCGGCUUAACUGGGGAGGGUCAUUCGAUACUGCUCGACUUGAAGGCAGGAGAGGGUAGUGGAAUUCCCGGUGUAGUGGUGAAAUGCGUAGAUAUCGGGAGGAACACCAGUGGCGAAGGCGACUACCUGGCCUGUUCUUGACGCUGAGGCGCGAAAGCUAGGGGAGCGAACGGG
rnacentral:rRNA from 1 species